AAAUAGGGGUUAAAAAUAGGGAGGAGAAGGUAAAUGUAUAUGUUAGCGGACAAACCCGAUUUCAGGACAAACUAGAAUUUCCUAGGACGAACUAGUUUGGCCUAGUUACCGCGGGCCCUACUAGAAUUUCCUAGGCCAAAUUAGUUUAUCCUACAGCACGUAGGCGAAACUAGUUUGGGCCUAGGCCGAACUAGUUUUUCCUAAAACACGUAGGCAAAACUAGUUCCGGCUUAGGCCGAACCCGUUCGGACGAACUAGUUUGGCCUAGGUGGAACUAGUUGGGCCUAGGAUUUUGAAGAAACGUUCGGCUACCGAUUCUAUCGCAGAAAUUGGUACUUAUCUAUCGAAUUAACUAUCGAUAAGAGUCUCAAUCAAAACACCAGUCCACGCUGAGCAGUGAUCACCAGUCCACGCUGAGCAGUGAUAAGGAGCACGUUAAUGUUCGCGACAUUACUUUGUGUUGUUAUUAAUGCCGUAUUCAAUUUAAUUACUUUCUUUCAUUUAUAAAUUUAGUCGUUAUGAAUGUAUAGUCGUGUCGGGCAAUGCUUUUUUACGUGCGAAGUCGUUAAAACGUGAAGUUUUCUUCCAAACAAUCACAUGAUAGUGCCGUACGAUAGUGCCGGAGGCAAGGAAUUCUCUGCAAUUCAAAAUGUCACAGCAGCUUAUCAUGCAACAAUAAAUAGGUGCUGGGAUAGAUGCUGCUACUAUUGACGAAGAAUAGCUGCUGAUGAUCAAGCUUAACAAUCAAAAAUCAAUAUCAAGAAUAUUUCAAGUAACUUAUUAAAAUGUACAAAACAAUACGGGUAAACUAAAAAUUAAAGCAAUAAAUUUACAUUGAAGAAUUUAAAA